ensembl:lincRNA
GAAAUGUCUCGUCCUCUAAGAUGAAUCUAAAAGUUGCUUCUAGAAAAUGCAUUGAAGAUUGCAGCCUUGGUCAAACAGCUGUGAGCAAGCAAGGACGCAUCACUCCCUCGAGGCAGAAGGAUGGAGAGUUCUAAGAAGCGAGUAUACAGGAAGAAGUCAGGGAUUAAAGAAGUAUACACACAGGGAAAGCUAAUGCACAAAAUAUAUGAGUGAGUCUGACGUAUGAAGGCAGGUCUGCAGGAUCCAGUCUCCUUUUUAACUGAACUUGCCAGCCGGAUGUGGACCUCUGUCUAAGGAGCUGGGUUCACAGAGGAGGGGCAGUGGACAUUGUGGUACCUAUGGAGUUUUAUAUUUGUGGCUGUUGGACCCCGACUGCCCAAAUCCUGUGAGAGGUCAUGGAGACCGGAAGUGGCAUGUUCAGUGGGCAGCUCCUAUGCUUGAUGUCGGAGGAGUUCUAUUUGGUCAUUCUCCAAACUGCUUGAUUGGUUUUUGUAACUUCUGUCCCCUGAAGUGCUUGUUAACUCUAUCCCAACGUAAGAAAGACGGAUUGCCAAAGAUCAUUGACAACAAUUGGGGUAUGAACCAGCCAUCCCCAGCAUGGCCAAAGUCAAGGCUCUGCCUUUCUCUUCUCCUUGGAAUGGUGCCAGCCCCGUGCUCCUCACCUCUGUUGGAGACAUAAGAAAAAGAAGCUUUGAGCCUUUUGCUUCAUGCUACCAUAGCUAUCACUUCUGAGUGCUGACUCUGAGCCAGGGAAGAUCAUUCGCAUGUAUUACUCACAUGAUCCUUGAAACAAAACUGUUGUUCCUCUCCUGUAGGCAAAGACACUGAGGCUCAAAGAAUUUAGGGAGCAUGCCAUUCUCCUAGCACUAGUAAGUAGAGAGCCUGGUUCCCAAUCUUUACUGGCCUCACCUCACAGCCCGUGUUCUUAAGGUAAUUCUAAUUACGGGGGCAGAAGAAGAAACUAUUGCCUUCGGAGAAAGAAAGUCAGAAGAGCUGAGUCCAACUCAUGGUGGCCCAGUGAACUCACUCACUCUUCCACUCUGUCACCUUCUGGAAACAAAGCCCCUUAAGGAAUUUCUUCUCCCAAUACCCCCUUCAUCACAGCCCCAUUUUUGCAAACAUUUAUUGCUUCUUAAGGGUCAGGCUGACAUUUUGUGUCUGAAUGAAUCUAUGGGGUAGAUACCGUUAUUAUCCCCACGUGAAGGAUGACAAAACGGAGGUGCAGAAAGGUGGUGGAAUUUGUCCAAAGUAACGUGGCUACUGAGUGACAGAGACACAUCUGAACCCACACAGUCUGAUUUCAGAGCCUUUCCCACUACAUUUGGUGCACAGUAAAAGGUUCGAAAGGCUACACUCAAAUGAUUAGCAGCUCUCUCUCAGGAGUUGGCUUUAGGCGGGAAAUACGGAGAGAAUGACUUUGACUUAUUUUGUCUACACGUGAAUCCUUUUGAAGAUUUUACAGUGCCUAUAUAUGGAUAGUUCUUAUAAUUAAAAAUAUAUCUUCAGAGAUUUAAAUAUUCUGGCUCUCCAUACAGUUGCGGCAUUAAGUACAAACUAAUUAUUUGUCAUAAGGAGACUGGCAUUUUCUGGAAGAUUCCAGAAAUCCAGAAAAGAUGCCAAGACUGGCGGGGUCAUUAUGAAGCUGGAGCCUACAUCCGUGGGGUCAUGCAUUCUCCUCUCCCUCCCUUUUUGCCAGCACAAGGCCAGCAGACAGAGAUCUCCAUGAUUGUAGCAUGUGAAUUUAUAUCCACCCUGAAUCUGAGGGCAAACAGAAAUGUAAAUUUUGGCAGCUGCCUUUGUGGGCACUGACCUCACAGGACUCAUUCAGUCCCAGACUUCACCCUGGGAGUGAUUUCCCCACAUCCGCUAUAAUUUAUUGACAAGACUUGUUUCUCUUCCUGACGCUGAAGGAAUUGCCCAGCACAAUUUUAAACAAAGCACCAUGCGGAUCAGUGCAAUGAACUGAAUCACCAUUUCCUCGCAGUACCAGCCCUGCCCCGGGUAAUGUUUUUCUCUCCAUCGUCUCUCAUUUUUGUGAAGAUGCUGGCAACGCAAGUCAUCUCCAGACAUUUCCCAUUGUCUCUCUGUCAGCCCCGAACAAAGGCAAGGCCCCCGGUCUCCCCAGCCUGACCCAGGCAGCUGGUUUGAGAUCUCACAGCAUUUUACCGCGAUGCCUUGUUGCAAACAAUCUUUUCAAGGUAUUCAUGUCCAGUGUGACCUGAUGUUAAUUCAGAAAUAUGUGGGUUUCAAUUUUCCCUGCUGUCCCAAGUGUCAUAAAAUUAC